GAUCAUGGCUCAGGAUGAACGCUAGCUACAGGCUUAACACAUGCAAGUCGAGGGGCAGCACAGUGUAGCAAUACAUGGGUGGCGACCGGCGCACGGGUGCGUAACGCGUAUCCAACCUUCCCGAUACUCAGGGAUAGCCUUCCGAAAGGGAGAUUAAUACCUGAUGGUGUUCAAAUUCCGCAUGUUAUUUGAACUAAAGAUUUAUCGGUAUCGGAUGGGGAUGCGUGACAUUAGAUAGUAGGCGGGGUAACGGCCCACCUAGUCUACGAUGUCUAGGGGUUCUGAGAGGAAGGUCCCCCACACUGGAACUGAGACACGGUCCAGACUCCUACGGGAGGCAGCAGUGAGGAAUAUUGGUCAAUGGCCGGGAGGCUGAACCAGCCAUGCCGCGUGAAGGUCACGGCCCUAUGGGUCUUAAACUUCUUUUGUAAGGGAGCAAUAAGGGUCACGUGUGGUCCGAUGAGAGUACCUUACGAAUAAGCAUCGGCUAACUCCGUG
rnacentral:rRNA from 1 species